GGUGUAGGCGGCCUUUCAAGUCGGGUGUGAAAUCUCCCAGCUUAACUGGGAGGGGACAUUCGAUACUGUUGGGCUAGAGGACAGCAGAGGGAGGCGGAACUCCCGGUGUAGUGGUGGAAUGCGUAGAUAUCGGGAGGAACACCAGUGGCGAAGGCGGCCUCCUGGGCUGCCCCUGACGCUGAGAUCCGACGGCGUGGGGAGCAAACA
rnacentral:rRNA from 1 species